CCUACGGGGGGCAGCAGUAGGGAAUCUUCCACAAUGGGCGCAAGCCUGAUGGAGCAACACCGCGUGAGUGAAGAAGGGUUUCGGCGCGUAAAGCUCGGUUGGUGGAGAAGAACGUGCGGGAGAGUAACUGUUCACGCAGGGACGGUAUCAAACCAGAAAGGCACGGCUAACUACGUGCCAGCAGCCGCGGUAAGACGUAGGUGGCAAGCUUUCUCCGGAUUUAUUGGGCGGAAAGCGAGCGGAGGCGGUUGCUUAGGUCUGAUGUGCAAGCCUUCGGCGUAACCGAAGAAGUGCCUCGGAAACCGGGCGCCUUCAGUGCAGCAGAGGCCAGUGGAACUCCAUGUGUAGCGGU
rnacentral:rRNA from 1 species